rnacentral:rRNA from 1 species
CCCUUAGAUGUUCUGGGCCGCACGCGCGCUACACUGACGAAGUCAGCGAGCAUGUCCUACGCCGACAGGUGCGGGGAAUCUUGUCAAACUCCGUCGUGCUGGGGAUAGAGCAUUGUAAUUAUUGCUCUUCAACGAGGAAUUCCUAGUAAGCGCAAGUCAUCAGCUUGCGUUGAUUACGUCCCUGCCCUUUGUACACACCGCCCGUCGCUACUACCGAUUGAAUGGCUUAGUGAGGCUUCCGGAUUGGUUUAGAGAAGGGGGCAACUCCAUCUUGGAACCGAGAAGCUAGUCAAACUUGGUCAUUUAGAGGAAGUAAAAGUCGUAACA